ACUCCUACGGGAGGCAGCAGUGGGGAAUUUUGCGCAAUGGGCGAAAGCCUGACGCAGCAACGCCGCGUGAGUGAUGAAGGCUUUCGGGUCGUAAAGCUCUGUCGAGGGGAAAGAAGUGUAUUGUGGCUAAUAUCCACGAUACUUGACGGUACCCCUAAAGGAAGCACCGGCUAACUCCGUGCCAGCAGCCGCGGUAAUACGGGGGGUGCAAGCGUUGUUCGGAAUUAUUGGGCGUAAAGAGCGUGUAGGCGGUUUGUUUAGUCUGAUGUGAAAGCCCUGGGCUCAACCCGGGAAGUGCAUUGGAAACUGGCAGACUUGAAUACGGGAGAGGGUAGUGGAAUUCCUGGUGUAGGAGUGAAAUCCGUAGAUAUUAGGAGGAACACCGGUGGCGAAGGCGGCUGCCUGGACCGAUAUUGACGCUGAGACGCGAAAGCGUGGGUAGCAAACAGGAUUAGAUACCCUGGUAGUCCACGCCGUAAACGAUGAGAACUAGGUGUCGCGGGUA
rnacentral:rRNA from 1 species